rnacentral:rRNA from 1 species
UACGAAGGGGGCGAGCGUUGUUCGGAAUCACUGGGCGUAAAGGGCGCGUAGGCGGCCCUCCUAGUCGCGUGUGAAAGCCCCCGGGCUCAACCUCCAGACGUCGAUCGAAACCAUCUGGCUAGAGUCCGGAAGAGGAGAAUGGAAUUCCUGGUGUAGCGGUGAAAUGCGCAGAUAUCAGGAGGAACACCAAUAGCGAAGGCAGCUCGCUGGGACGUUACUGACACUGAGGCGCGAAAGCGUGGGGAGCGAACAGG